ACAACAUCAGCGACAAUAGCAGUGGCGGUGGCUGCCGCGGUGGGCGGCGUCUUCGGCUCCGAAGAAGGAGACGAAUGUCGAUUUCGUCGUCGUCGUCGUCGUCGUCCGUUUCGUGGUGUCCACCGUCGUCGUCGUCGUCGUCGUUGUUGGGCUGAUCCGGUUCGGUGCGCGUUGUGGAGGGGGAGACGAUGUCGUCGUCUUCGUCGUCUUCGUCGUCUUGGCGGCGGCGGCGGCGGCGGCGGCGGCAUUCCCUCUCUCCCUUCCCAUCCCCCGAUUUACCUUCCUGAUAUGAGGACGGCGCAAGCCCGGGGCUCGCGCGCGACCUCCCGGCUGCUUUAAAUGCUCGGCUUCCGUUUUUUUUCCGGCGCGCGUCGCGGUAGUUUUUUUCGGGCGCUUUCCUCCCCCGCGGUAGCGGUAAAAAGUAUACUUCUACUCGUGCCGCUGCGGCGACGGGUUCGGGGGCGUUCGAGCUCGGUUUGGCCGCGUUCGGGGCGGUUGCCCGCAGGCGCGGGACGAGCGGCGGGUUCUCCGAGCGCACCUUCUGGUACCCGAAAGAUGGUGAUCUAUGCCUGGCCAGGAUGAAGCCAGAGGAAACUCUGGUGGAGGUCCGUAGCGAUUCUGACGUGCAAAUCGAUCGUCGGAGCUGGUUAUAGGGGCGAAAGACCAAUCGAACCAUCUAG
rnacentral:rRNA from 1 species